AGCGAACGCUGGCGGCAGGCUUAACACAUGCAAGUCGAGCGCGUGUAGCAAUACACGAGCGGCAGACGGGUGAGUAACACGUGGGAACGUGCCUUUUGGUUCGGAAUAACUCAGGGAAACUUGAGCUAAUACCGAAUAAGCCCUUCGGGGGAAAGAUUUAUCGCCAAAAGAUCGGCCCGCGUAAGAUUAGCUUGUUGGUG
rnacentral:rRNA from 1 species